GUGCCGUCUGUGCUGAGGUAUAUUGCCAUAGAUCUCUUUAAAGAUUUUAGAUUGAAUGAAGAUUUGAUUGUGUCCCUGAGGUUAUUCCAUAAUUGGGGUGCUCUGUAGGAAAAGGAGGAUCAAGACACUUUAAUUUCAUAUUGUGGUAUGCUAAAUAUCGUGCUAGUACUGUAUCGGAGGUGGGAACAGCUGGUGAGAGCAUUCUACUCAGGUAGGGGGGGAGUUUCCCAGAAAUGCUCUUAUACACAAGGCUGGAAAAAUGAAGGUUGCGUCUGGAUUCCAGCGUUAGCAAGUUUAGCUCUUUUAACAUGUCACAAUGGUGGGUAAGGUAAUUACAUUCUAAUACAAAGCGGCAGAACGAGUUAUAUAAC